CCUGGUUCAGAUUGAACGCUGGCGGCAUGCUUUACACAUGCAAGUCGAACGGCGGCACGGACUUCGGUCUGGUGGCGAGUGGCGAACGGGUGAGUAAUACAUCGGAACGUGCCCAGUUGUGGGGGAUAACUACUCGAAAGAGUAGCUAAUACCGCAUGAGAACUGAGGUUGAAAGCAGGGGAUCGUAAGACCUUGCGCAACUGGAGCGGCCGAUGGCAGAUUAGGUAGUUGGUGGGAUAAAAGCUUACCAAGCCGACGAUCUGUAGCUGGUCUGAGAGGACGACCAGCCACACUGGGACUGAGACACGGCCCAGACUCCUACGGGAGGCAGCAGUGGGGAAUUUUGGACAAUGGGCGAAAGCCUGAUCCAGCAAUGCCGCGUGCAGGAUGAAGGCCUUCGGGUUGUAAACUGCUUUUGUACGGAACGAAAAGCUUCGGGUUAAUACCCUGGAGUCAUGACGGUACCGUAAGAAUAAGCACCGGCUAACUACGUGCCAGCAGCCGCGGUAAUAC
rnacentral:rRNA from 1 species